rnacentral:rRNA from 1 species
UGGGGAAUAUUGGACAAUGGGCGCAAGCCUGAUCCAGCAAUGCCGCGUGAGUGAUGAAGGCCUUAGGGUUGUAAAGCUCUUUCGCACGCGACGAUGAUGACGGUAGCGUGAGAAGAAGCCCCGGCUAACUUCGUGCCAGCAGCCGCGGUAAUACGAAGGGGGCUAGCGUUGUUCGGAAUUACUGGGCGUAAAGGGCGCGUAGGCGGCCUGUUUAGUCAGAAGUGAAAGCCCCGGGCUCAGCCUGGGAAUAGCUUUUGAUACUGGCAGGCUUGAGUUCCGGAGAGGAUGGUGGAAUUCCCAGUGUAGAGGUGAAAUUCGUAGAUAUUGGGAAGAACACCGGUGGCGAAGGCGGCCAUCUGGACGGACACUGACGCUGAGGCGCGAAAGCGUGGGGAGCAAACAGGAUUAGAUACCCUGUAGUCCACGCCGUAAACGAUGAAUGCUAGACGUCGGGGUGCAUGCACUUCGGUGUCGCCGCUAACGCAUUAAGCAUUCCGCCUGGGGAGUACGGCCGCAAGGUUAAAACUCAAAGGAAUUGACGGGGUCAUAGCUGUUUCCU